CAGUAGCGCGGUAAUACGUAGGGUGCAAGCGUUAAUCGGAAUUACUGGGCGUAAAGCGUGCGCAGGCGGUUAUAUAAGACAGAUGUGAAAUCCCCGGGCUCAACCUGGGAACUGCAUUUGUGACUGUAUAGCUAGAGUACGGCAGAGGGGGAUGGAAUUCCGCGUGUAGCAGUGAAAUGCGUAGAUAUGCGGAGGAACACCGAUGGCGAAGGCAAUCCCCUGGGCCUGUACUGACGCUCAUGCACGAAAGCGUGGGGAGCAAACAGGAUUAGAUACCCCAGUAGUCCCUGUCUCUUAUACC
rnacentral:rRNA from 1 species